GGGAACAUGGCUCAGUGGUACAGCAUCUGCUUGGCGUGCAGAAGGACACGGGUUCAAUCCCUGGCAUUUCCA
rnacentral:tRNA from 1 species